AGAGCAGGAGAGACACAGUGGGGAUCUCGGGGUGGGAGUGGGGGCGGCCAGGAGCCUGGGGCUGCCCGAGGGAUGUGCUUACAUGGGAUACUGUCUGUGAAGCGCUUGGAACCAUGCCUGCCGGUGGGAAGCAAUCGAUAAGGACCAUUACUGCCACCUCCUGAAGUUUGCCUUUUCCGGCCCCCCUGCUCAGGGUUCCCCAUGCCAGCACCAUUCAGGCCUGGAUGAUUGCUCUCCUGCUCCAGGCCUCACCCCUACAUCUCCUCUCCACGUGCUGCCCGAUGGGGCCUUAGGAAAUGAAGAGCUGAGGUCCAGAGAGGGGGGAGGUGACUUGCCCAAGGUCCCUGGCCAAGUGGACGAGCUGAGAUUGGAAUCUCGUGACCCAGAGGUCAGAGCUCACUGCCAGCCCUUCAUGGCGCCAUGAUGGCUCAGCCCUGGACGGCCUGUUGGAGCGUCAGUCCCUGUGGGUCAAGGAGAUGCCCAUGGCUUGGUCCCAUGUCCCUCUGGCCUGGCAUUAGCCAUAUCACCCGUUGGGAUGGUUGCAAAAUCCCACUCGCUUUAGCAGUCGAUAAAGAGUGCCCAUUGCAAAAUUCA